rnacentral:rRNA from 1 species
UACGUAGGGAGCAAGCGUUGUCCGGAUUUAUUGGGCGUAAAGGGUGCGUAGGUGGCUUGGUAAGUCAGUGGUGAAAGCCCGGAGCUCAACUCCGGAACUGCCAUUGAUACUGCUUAGCUUGAAUCAGGUCGAGGUGGAUGGAAUAUUACAUGUAGCGGUGAAAUGCUUAGAUAUGUAAUAGAACACCGAUUGCGAAGGCAGUUCACUAGGCCUGUAUUGACACUGAGGCACGAAAGCGUGGGGAUCAAACAAG